rnacentral:tRNA from 2 species
GGAGAGAUGGCUGAGUGGACUAAAGCGACAGAUUGCUAAUCCGUUGUACGAAUUAUUCGUACCGAGGGUUCGAAUCCCUCUCUCUCCG